UUAUGAGAGUUUGAUCCUGGCUCAGGACGAACGCUGGCGGCGUGCCUAAUACAUGCAAGUCGAACGCUUUUUCUUUCACCGGAGCUUGCUCCACCGAAAGAAAAAGAGUGGCGAACGGGUGAGUAACACGUGGGUAACCUGCCCAUCAGAAGGGGAUAACACUUGGAAACAGGUGCUAAUACCGUAUAACACUAUUUUCCGCAUGGAAGAAAGUUGAAAGGCGCUUUUGCGUCACUGAUGGAUGGACCCGCGGUGCAUUAGCUAGUUGGUGAGGUAACGGCUCACCAAGGCAACGAUGCAUAGCCGACCUGAGAGGGUGAUCGGCCACACUGGGACUGAGACACGGCCCAGACUCCUACGGGAGGCAGCAGU
rnacentral:rRNA from 1 species